rnacentral:miRNA from 1 species
GGCCACCUCUUUGGUUCUGUAC